rnacentral:rRNA from 1 species
UACGGGAGGCAGCAGUGGGGAAUAUUGCACAAUGGGCGCAAGCCUGAUGCAGCCAUGCCGCGUGUAUGAAGAAGGCCUUCGGGUUGUAAAGUACUUUCAGUCGUGAGGAAGGUGUUAAGGUUAAUAACCUUAGCAAUUGACGUUAGCGACAGAAGAAGCACCGGCUAACUCCGUGCCAGCAGCCGCGGUAAUACGGAGGGUGCGAGCGUUAAUCGGAAUUACUGGGCGUAAAGGGCACGCAGGCGGUUAAUUAAGUUGGAUGUGAAAUCCCCGGGCUUAACCUGGGAAUGGCAUUCAAGACUGGUUAGCUAGAGUCUUGUAGAGGGGGUAGAAUUCCAUGUGUAGCGGUGAAAUGCGUAGAGAUGUGGAGGAAUACCGGUGGCGAAGGCGGCCCCUGGACAAAAGACUGACGCUCAUGUGCGAAAGCGUGGGGAGCAAAACAGGGAUUAGAUACC